AGACCCAGCCGCCUCAGCCAGCCUUAGAAAGGCUUCCACGAUAGUCCACCUGGCCUGCCCACGGCCAGUCUUGAACUCCUGGGCUCAAGUGAUCCUCCAGCCUCUGCCUUCCAAAGUGUGGGAGGAUUUCAGGCAUGAGCUACCGUGCCCAGCCUCUGAGCUGAGUCUGAAAGGCCAACAGGAAUUAGCAAGGAAAGCCAGACAAGCAGCCAAGGCAGAUGGAGAGCAUAUUCCAAAGUGUGGAGGUGUGACCUGAAAGGAACCUUGGCUGGCUGGGGAGACAAUCGGGACAAUCAGGAGACAUGCCAAAGCCAGACUGGGGAACUGGAACCUGAGGCCACCGAGGAACCACAGGAGACUCCAAGCUAGGAGUGACCGGUUACACACAGGCAUUAGAAAGCUCUCUGUGGAGGCAGGCAGGGAAUAUUUCCUGCUGCCUCCAGCACCAAGCCUCCAAUGGCUGGGCUUUGGCACAGCCAGAGUGAGACAUCACAGUCCCCCCCUCCCUGAGUCCAAGGCCCAGCAGUCCUGUUCCUGAGGCCUCUCUCCCACUGUGGCAGACCCACCUCCACACAAGCACCCAUCUCACUGGAGGCAAUGGUCUGUUUGAAGCCUGGGAGACAGCACUGGGACCCAUCUACUGCUGUACCCUCAAUGCCAGCAUAAAACCUGGAGAUCCUCAAUAUGUGACAGAAGGAAGGAUGGGAAGGAGAGAAGGAAAAUCAGCCCACCCUAGCUGUUAAUUAAAGAAUGUUCCCCUCCUCUG